CUAUCAGCUAGUUGGUGGGGUAAUGGCUCACCAAGGCGAUGACGGGUAGCUGGUCUGAGAGGACGACCAGCCGCACUGGGACUGAGACACUGCCCAGACUCCUACGGGAGGCUGCAGUCGAGAAUCUUCCGCAAUGGGCGAAAGCCUGACGGAGCGACACCGCGUGCAGGACGAAGGCCCUCGGGUUGUAAACUGCUGUCACGCUCUAGGAAACCCAUGUCGUUAACAGCGGCAUGGCUGACCAAGGCGAAAGGAAGUGGCGGCUAACUCUGUGCCAGCAGCCGCGGUAAGACAGAGGCCACGAACGUUGUUCGGAAUCACUGGGCAUAAGCGCACGUAGGCGGCUAGGUCCGUCCGAUGUGAAAGCCCCCGGCUCAACCGGGGAACAGCAUCGGAUACAGCCUGGCUUGAGGACGGUUGGGGUGAGUGGAACCCCUGGUGGAGCGGUGAAAUGCGUAGAUAUCAGGAGGAACACCGGUGGCGAAAGCGGCUCACUGGACCGUUACUGACGCUGAGGUGCGAAAGCUAGGGGAGCAAACGGGAUUAGAUACCCCGGUAGUCCUAGCCGUAAACGAUGGGCACUGGGUAGGGGGGAAGCCUAUGCUCUUCCCUGCCGAAGCAAAUGUAUUAAGUGCCCCGCCUGGGGAGUACGCUCGCAAGGGUAAAACUCAAAGGAAUUGACGGGGGCUCACACAAGCGGUGGAGCAUGUGGUUCAAUUCGAAGCAACGCGAAGAACCUUACCUGGCCUUGACAUCCAUGGAUUAGUCCCCUGAAAGGGGGAGUACUGCUCUUCGGAGCCGGAACAUGGACAGGUGUUGCAUGGCUGUCGUCAGCUCGUGUCGUGAGAUGUUGGGUUAAGUCCCGUAACGAGCGCAACCCUUGUCGCUAGUUGCCAGCGGGUAAUGCCGGGGACUCUAGCGAGACCGCCGGUGUCAAACCGGAGGA
rnacentral:rRNA from 1 species